AGCGACAGUGGAAAGAAAAAACACCCAUUAGCGGGAAGGAAAAACCUCCGGCAGAGGUUUUUCCUUCCCGCUAUUUGACAGGAAACGGCCUAAAACACAUGAUCUUCCCAAGCUGAGAUAUUUAAAUAGAGCACGCACUUCAACUAUCACAUUUCUAUGCUUAAGGGGAAAGUCAAAACCGUCCUUAGAACAACUAGAAUCCUCAGAUGUGACAAAAAGUAUGUUUGGAUGCAUUUUUACAGCUUAAAAACUUUGUCUGCUGGAAGUUCUGAUAUUUGUGCUUAAAGAAACAGCUAUGAAACAAAACGGAGGCAUAGAAAAAGAAAGAUGCCUUUACUUACAUGUUUCAAAUCCUUUGUAAAUAUUUUACAUCAUAAUAAAAUAAUAAUAAGGCAGCUGUGUGGAUUAAUGGGAAACCUCAGAUUUUCUUUAUAUUUGUACACUCACGUUUUUUGUAUUUUAUUGGAGUUUAGAUGUGAUAGACCAACAGAAAGUAAUCUACAACUGUGACGCGGGAGAAAAAGGGUACAAAUGUCUUUAUGGGUAAAAAUCUAUAUAAAAUGCUGCGUGCAUAUAUAUUCAGCUGCUUUUAUAUAUAUAUUCUCCCCCUGAGAUAAACUCCAGAGCAACCAGAUAACCUAACCUGGGUGUAAUCUGACCGGAGUGGAAAUCCAGCAUCUCCGUGAAGGCGUCGGGCAUCGGGGGCUUGUUAGAGAACAUUAGUGCACAAACAAUAAGACUUUGGCCUUUAUGGGAAAGUGGCAAGAGGAAAAACCGUCGUGGAAAGAAUGCCAGAAGAAGUCCAGAAGUCGUGUAGAGGACCAAGUACACACGUGGAAGACGAUGCCGCGUCGUUUUGAACAUCACCAUCCCAGCAGUUAAACAUGGCGGCGACAGCGUCAUAAUGGGGGACGCUUUUCUUCAGCCGCGACACUGAAGCUUAGAGACGAUGGGAAGGUCAGCGGAGCGUCGAACAGGGCAGCCGUUGAAGAAAAGCUGUUAGCGGCUGCUAAAGAAUAAUGAGCAAAACAUUCCCUCCGUGGAUUUUAAAGCUGGGAGGGAUUUGAAUGUUUUAAAUGAUUUCAACAGAGAAGCACCAGUCCAGAGGACCUAUUUGUUUUUUUUUAUUUAAAUUGCACUGCACCAGACAUUACUUGUAUCUUUACUGUGUUUGUACAAUUUUAUGUUGUUCUAUUUUCUCAAAUGAGUCUCUUUUGUAAAUGAGAUUUUGGAUCUCAAUGAGAAUUCCUGCAUAGAUAAAGGUUAA